UGCUAUAGUUUAAGGUGUUGUAGUCUUUUAAGUUAAUGUUGAUUAGGGCACUGCAUAAGUUAAAAUACUCUCUAAAGAGGCUUGUGGAAGGGCUGUCCCACGCUCUAGAGGACGCGUGGUCUGGAUACAGCUUGGCGCUGGCGCAGGUGCUGAGUGUGUUUGAGGAGAUUUCACUUAAAAGCACACUAGAUCAGAUCAAGGAGAAACACAACCUGCAGACAGCCAAGAAGAAACAGAUCUGAAAUGUUGCGUUUGGGAAUUUCUUUGGAGUGCUGGCCUUGUCUCAGUCCA